AAAUAAUUAUGUAUCAUCUAAAUUUAGCUUUGUUUCCUUGCUUUUCCGCACAUAUAUUAGAAAUAAUAUCCUCCAAUGAUACAAACGCGAUAAACGUUAUGAUGAGUGGAGUGUUCAACUUUUUAUAUCCCGUAGAAUCAUUUUUCCGUGUUGUUGCCUUUGUUUUUGUUGUGAAAAAAAACUGGUUGACUAGAACCAGAUUGAUUUUGAAUCGUUGUUUCUCCAGUUUUAUUUAAAUAAUUUCUCGUGCUUAAAAACAGGGUUCUCAACAGCUAUUGCGGAAGAAAAUGGAAGCAAAUACCUUUUGGAGAUCCGACCAAGGAACCGACUCAAUUUUUCUUGGACAUGAUUUGGUCAGUAUCGCAUUCUCCUUCGAUGCGGCUUCCCGGACCCGGAUGCUCGAGAAAAGUCAUAAAAGAUGCAGAACUCGCUGAUAUAAAUGUUAAAUUAUUCGUAAAAUUAACAUAAUUUUUCACGGAAAACAUGAAUUCAAUGUGGAAAUAUACAAUGUGAGUGUAAAAUACAA